AACGAACGCUGGCGGCAUGCCUAACACAUGCAAGUCGAACGAGACCUUCGGGUCUAGUGGCGCACGGGUGCGUAACGCGUGGGAACCUGCCCUUAGGUUCGGAAUAACUCCCCGAAGGGGGUGCUAAUACCGGAUAAUGUCUUCGGACCAAAGAUUUAUCGCCUUUGGAUGGGCCCGCGUUGGAUUAGCUAGUUGGUAGGGUAAAAGCCUACCAAGGCGACGAUCCAUAGCUGGUCUGGGAGGAUGAUCAGCCACACUGGGACUGAGACACGGCCCAGACUCCUACGGGAGGCAGCAGUGGGGAAUAUUGGACAAUGGGCGAAAGCCUGAUCCAGCAAUGCCGCGUGAGUGAUGAAGGCCUUAGGGUUGUAAAGCUCUUUUACCCGGGAUGAUAAUGACAGUACCGGGAGAAUAAGCUCCGGCUAACUCCGUG
rnacentral:rRNA from 1 species